GUAAGCCUAACUAUAUUAAUAUCAAGAAUGAAUUUAUUAAUGAAGAUCAGGUUUCUAAACCUAAAAAAAGAAAGAGGAGCUCGUAUGAGGCAAAGAUUCUUGGCCUCAAACAAUCCUACUCGGGGCCGCUGUGGACGAGUCAAGGUUCCAAGGAAUGGCUGAGCUCAGCAGAUGACGUGGCUUUCAACGACACAGAAGCAGAAGACUAUGUCAGCAUCACCGACUUCCUAGAAUGUUCACUGGACGACAAUGAAGACUGCACUGCUUCUCAAA